rnacentral:lncRNA from 1 species
AUUUGCACGGCCGGAUAAAAAUACGUACCCGAUUUAAUCUGGUUAUUACUACUGCCCAGAAACUAGAAUAUGCAUAUAAUUAUUGGCUUUGGAUAGAAAACACCCUAAAGUUUCUAAAACUGUUUGAAUGGUGUCUGUGAGUAUAACAGAACUCAUAUGGCAGUCAAAACUCUGAGACAAAUCCUGACAGGAAACUGAAAUCUGAUGUGUGGAUAUCACUUCAAACAUUUGCCAUUGAAACACACAGGGGCUUGCGAUUCAUGUAGCACUUCCUAAAGCUUCCACUAGAUGUCCCCAGUCUUUACAAAGUGUUUUGAGCCUCCUACCAUCAAAAUUGACUCAAAGAGAGGAUGUUUACCUUGGUUACAGGAAAUGGGCCAUUACCAUUGUGACGUCGGCGCCCAUGGGUACUCUCCCUUUUCGAAACGUUUUGAAAGACAAUGCAACCAUCCCAAUGGAAUAUUAUUGAAGCCCUGGUUGAAAAAGCCCCUAAAGAUUUAUGUUAUACAACGUUUGACAUGUUUGAACGAACUUAAAUAUAUUUUUUUUGCUCAUUCCUGACGACAAGUCAGACGCACACGGUACAUUUUCACUAGCCUUCGGAGCGCGCUAACGCUAUUGGGACAUAAAUUAUUAACUUUUUUGAACAAAACUACAUUUGUUAUGGACCUGGGAUGCCUAGAAGUGCCUUCUGAUAAAGAUAAUCAGAGGCCACUUACAAAACCUGGUGGAAAACAUCAGGAAUGGUUACAGAGGUGGAGGCCCUGGCCGACACAAGUCGCGCUUCAGAGAAAUGGAUGACACUUGAAUCAGGAGCUGGGUCGGAUAUAGGAGCUAAAGUCAGGCUCCUUCAUGACCAGUAUCUGUGACAAGAGGGACCUGGAGCUGAUCUACACUGCCAUGCCCAUCAGGCAUGGCAAACACCUUCAGAAGGGACAAAAAAUGGAGGACAGAAAAGACGCUUUUGAAAUGGAGUCCUCUGAAUGAAAGACAGGUUGAUACUGAUAUCUGAAUUGGGACCGACCAAAUCAAAUCAAAUCAAAUCAAAUGUAUUUAUAUAGCCCUUCGUACAUCAGCUGAUAUCUCAAAGUGCUGUACAGAAACCCAGCCUAAAACCCCAAACAGCAAGCAAAGCAUGUGAAAGAAGCACGGUGGCUAGGAAAAACUCCCUAGGAAAAACUCCCUAGAAAGGCCAAAAACCUAGGAAGAAACCUAGAGAGGAACCAGGCUAUGAGGGGUGGCCAGUCCUCUUCUGGCUGUGCAGGGUGG